UCUAUCGGUCGAUCAGUCGAUCGUUUGGUCAGUCGGUUGGUCGGUCAGUCGGUCGGUCAGUCGGUCGGUCAGUUGGUCAGUCGGUUGGUUGGAUC